rnacentral:lncRNA from 1 species
AGGGAGGGGAGAUGGGAAUAGAGGAAGAGAGUGAGGCACGCGGAGAAGGGGAGAGGAGUUCGCCGCCACGGGAGUGUGGAGAAGAAGGUCGGGGAGAGAGGGAAGGUGGGUUGAAGUUCGGAAGGGAGCUUUUGUUCCGACGGCAUAUGCUUUUUGGCUCUUUUUUUCAGAAAGUCUGAGUCCAGCAUUAAUAAUAUUUUGAAACACAAAUAUCUCAAAAUCUCGAUUGGGAGGG